rnacentral:rRNA from 1 species
UCAGGACGAACGCUGGCGGCGUGCUUAACACAUGCAAGUCGAACGAUGAAGCCCUUCGGGGUGGAUUAGUGGCGAACGGGUGAGUAACACGUGGGCAAUCUGCCCUUCACUCUGGGACAAGCCCUGGAAACGGGGUCUAAUACCGGAUACGACACGAGAUUGCAUGAUCUUCGUGUGGAAAGCUCCGGCGGUGAAGGAUGAGCCCGCGGCCUAUCAGCUUGUUGGUGGGGUAAUGGCCUACCAAGGCGACGACGGGUAGCCGGCCUGAGAGGGCGACCGGCCACACUGGGACUGAGACACGGCCCAGACUCCUACGGGAGGCAGCAGUGGGGAAUAUUGCACAAUGGGCGAAAGCCUGAUGCAGCGACGCCGCGUGAGGGAUGACGGCCUUCGGGUUGUAAACCUCUUUCAGCAGGGAAGAAGCGAAAGUGACGGUACCUGCAGAAGAAGCGCCGGCUAACUACGUGCCAGCAGCCGCGGUAAUACGUAGGGCGCAAGCGUUGUCCGGAAUUAUUGGGCGUAAAGAGCUCGUAGGCGGCCAGUCGCGUCGGGUGUGAAAGACCGGGGCUUAACCCCGGUUCUGCAUUCGAUACGGGCUGGCUAGAGUGUGGUAGGGGAGAUCGGAAUUCCUGGUGUAGCGGUGAAAUGCGCAGAUAUCAGGAGGAACACCGGUGGCGAAGGCGGAUCUCUGGGCCAUUACUGACGCUGAGGAGCGAAAGCGUGGGGAGCGAACAGGAUUAGAUACCCUGGUAGUCCACGCCGUAAAC